rnacentral:rRNA from 1 species
UAGGGAAUCUUCGGCAAUGGACGAAAGUCUGACCGAGCAACGCCGCGUGAGUGAAGAAGGUUUUCGGAUCGUAAAACUCUGUUGUUAGAGAAGAACAAGGACGUUAGUAACUGAACGUCCCCUGACGGUAUCUAACCAGAAAGCCACGGCUAACUACGUGCCAGCAGCCGCGGUAAUACGUAGGUGGCAAGCGUUGUCCGGAUUUAUUGGGCGUAAAGCGAGCGCAGGCGGUUUCUUAAGUCUGAUGUGAAAGCCCCUGGCUCAACCGGGGAGGGUCAUUGGAAACUGGGAGACUAGAGUGCAGAAGGGGAGAGUGGAAUUCCAUGUGUAGCGGUGAAAUGCGUAGAUAUGUGGAGGAACACCAGUGGCGAAGGCGGCUCUCUGGUCUGUAACUGACGCUGAGGCUCGAAAGCGUGGGGAGCAAACGGG